rnacentral:rRNA from 1 species
AUUGAACGCUGGCGGCAGGCUUAACACAUGCAAGUCGAGCGGAGAUGAGGUGCUUGCACCUUAUCUUAGCGGCGGACGGGUGAGUAAUGCUUAGGAAUCUGCCUAUUAGUGGGGGACAACAUUCCGAAAGGAAUGCUAAUACCGCAUACGUCCUACGGGAGAAAGCAGGGGAUCUUCGGACCUUGCGCUAAUAGAUGAGCCUAAGUCGGAUUAGCUAGUUGGUGGGGCAAAGGCCUACCAAGGCGACGAUCUGUAGCGGGUCUGAGAGGAUGAUCCGCCACACUGGGACUGAGACACGGCCCAGACUCCUACGGGAGGCAGCAGUGGGGAAUAUUGGACAAUGGGGGGAACCCUGAUCCAGCCAUGCCGCGUGUGUGAAGAAGGCCUUAUGGUUGUAAAGCACUUUAAGCGAGGAGGAGGCUACUGAGACUAAUACUCUUGGAUAGUGGACGUUACUCGCAGAAUAAGCACCGGCUAACUCUGUGCCAGCCGCCGCUGUAAAAC